rnacentral:rRNA from 1 species
ACUUGAUAAUGACUGUAUACACUUGCACAAACUCGAGCAUUACACAUGUGUAAGUAUGAACAAAUUCAGACAGUGAAACUACGAAUGGAUCAUUAAAUUAGUUAAAGUUUGUUUGAGGGUAUUUGCUACUCAGAUAACCGUAGUAAUUCUAAAACUUAUACAUACAAACAACCUUAACUUAUGGAAAGGGAUGCAUUUAUUAGAUAAAACAUCAACACGGACUUUGCUCGUUGCUCUGAUGAUUCAUGAUAACUUGACGGAUCGCACAACCUUUGUGCCGGCAAUGCAUCAUUAAAAUUUCUGCCCUAUCAACUUUUGAUGGUAGGAUACUGGCACUAUGGUGGUGACAGUGACAAAGAAUUAGGGUUCAAUUCUGGAGAGGGAUCCUGAGAAACGACUACCAUAUCCAAGGUAAGCAGCAAGCGCACAAAUUUCCCAAUCCUGACACGGAGAGGUAGUGACAAUUAAUAACAAUACCAUGCUCUAUGAGGUUGGUAAUUAGAAUGAGUACAAUCUAAAUCCCUUAAAGAGGAUCCAUUGGAGGGAAAGUCUUGUGCCAAUAGCUGUGGUAAUUCUAGGUCCAAUAACGUAUAUUUAAGAUGUUGCAGUUAAAAAUCUCAUAGUUAGAGUUAGAGGUGGGUCGGUCGAUCCGCCUUACGGUGAGAACUGGUCUACUCAUCCCUAUUGCCGACGAUGCGCUCCUAGCCUUAAUUGGUCAAGUUGUUCCUCCGACGUUAUUACUUUGAAAAAAAUAGAAUGCUCAAAGAAGGAUUACACUUGUAUACAUUAGCAUGGGAUACCAUCAUAGGAUUUUGAUCCUAAUUUGUUCGCCUUCAAGAUUGGAGUAAUGAUUAACAGGGAUAGUCGGGGACGUUCAUAUUUCAUAGUCAAUGGUAAAAUUCUUGGAUUUAUAAAAUACGAACAACUACGAAAGUACUUAAAAAUGAUGUUUUCAUUAAUCAAGAAUAAAAGUUGGGGACUCGAAGACGAUCAGAUACCAUCCUAGUCUCAACUAUAAAUGAUGCCAACUAGGGAUCGAUAGAUUUUUCUUUUAGGACUCCUUUAGCACCUUAUGAGAAAUCAAAGUCUUUUGGUUAUGGGGGAAUAUGGUCGCAAGGUUGAAACUUAAAGGAAUUGACAAAAGGGCACUAACAGGAGUGGAGUCUGCAACUUAAUUUGACCCAACACGAGGAAACGUACCAGGUUCGGUCAUAGUAAGGAUUCACAGACUAAGAGCUCUUUCUUGAUUCUAUGGGUGGUGGUGCAUAGUUGUUUUAGUUGGUGGAUCGUUUCCCUUGGGAAGGACAUGAGAGCAUCCCCGCCAAGAACAAUGAAGCCCUUAUUUUAGAACUACCGUGGGUUGGGGAACCCUGCAAUAGUUCGGGAGCUUAAGCAAGUCCUCAUUGCUAAAACCUUGAUAUUAUGUUUCUUAGUGAAACGAAGAUAAAUGCUAAUGGUUUCCCUCUAUUCAAAACUUUUGUAGGAUGAAAGGUAUUUGGCUGUGAGUUUUGAGGGUCGAAGUGGUGCUUUUGCUUUAAUGUGGAGAGGGGGUGGAUGUUGCUAUUUAAAACUAUUCAAAUCACCACAUAGAUUUUUUGGUUCGGUUCGAGAAUCAUAGAAACUUAAGAUUUAUAGAAUUGUACGGUCAUUCAGACUCUAAUCUAAGAAACAACUUAUGAGACAUGUAGAGAUGGGUUGGGAGUUCAUUUAGUGAGGACUAGGUGGUUAUGGGUGAUUUUAACACCAUUUCAAACGAUACC